rnacentral:lncRNA from 10 species
CUCUAAUCCGUGAAACGGGUGAACAUGUUACCUUCCAUGGCAAAAGGGACUUGGCAGAUGCAAUUAAGGUAUGGACCUUGAAUUGGGAAGAGUUCCCUAGAGUGUCCAGGUGGAUCCAAUAUAACUACAUGAGUUUUUAGAAGUGGAAGAGUAAGACAGAAGAGUGGGUCAGAGAGAUGCAACAACGGAAGAAGAGGAGGAGAAGUGGCAGCUUGAGAGAAACUCAACCCACUACUGCUGGCUUUAAAAAUGGAGGAAGAGGGCCAGGCGCGGUGGCUCAUGCUUGUAAUCCCAGCACUUUGGGAGGCAAAGUUGUGCGGAUCACGAGGUCAGGAGUUUGAGACAAGCCUGAUCAACAUGGUGAAACCCCAUCUCUAAAAAAAUACAAAAAUUAGCUGGGUGUAGUGGUGCGCGCCUAUAGUCCCAGCUGCUCAGGAGUCUGAGGCAGGGGAAUGGCGUGAACCCGGGAAGCGGAGCUUGCAGUGAGCCGAGAUCGCACCACUGCACUCCAGCCCGGGCAACAGAGUGAGACUCCAUCUCAAAAGAAAAAAAAAAGAAAGAAAAUGGAGGAAGGAGACCCACCAUGAGCCAAGGAAUGCAGAUGGCUUCUCAAAGCUGAGAACAGUCCUUAGCUGAUAGCCAGAGCAAGAUAAUAAAGACCUCAGUUCUACAAUCACAAGGAACUGAAUUCUGCCAACAACCUGAAUGCACCAAGAGACAGACUCUUCCAAAGAUCCCUCAGAAAGAGACACAGACGUGCAGGUAUCUUGAUUUCAGCCUCACAGACACCCAUGUCAGACUUCUGACCUGCAGAACUCUAAGAUCUAAAAGGAUUAGGUAUAGUCUCCAGUUCCAACCUCAGGACAGCAGGAGUGAUAAGUCAUGGACGGCGCCAUGAGGAUACAGAAGAGGCUGCUAAAAGGAGCUCUGACAAAAGCAAAAGUGGUCAUUGAUAUCAAGGUAGAAGGAAAAGAAGACAAAAGAUGUACCAGAACUUCACUUUUUACCACUGACACGAGCUACUUCUUUGUUGAAUCAGGUCUAGACAACUAGCAAAACAAUAAAUCAAAUAAUGACUUCUAGCAUCAGCCAAUUUCUGCAACCAUGAUAUCCGUGAAGGCAGAGCUGGGAAAAGAAGAGCCGUAGCAGCACACCAUAUUACAGUGUUUCUCCUAUUCAAAUACAAGAGAUCUAAAUUACCUCAAGGCCAUAGAAAACAGUGAAAUUUGGUAAUUAGUUAAGUAAUGAUUUUAAGUAUUUACUAACUUUGUUUUUGAUAUAAUUUACCUAUAAGCUUAUAUAAGUAAUUUUUAAUAAAGUCUGUGUUAAAGAAUCAGCUCACACAAAAACUCAAUAGGCUCUCAUGAGCCAGCACAAGCGGGCUUCACCACAUCACUUACAACUAACUUGAAUAAGAUCACACCAUUAGGAAGUAACAGUGCUAAGAUUUGUAUUCAGAUCUUAGAAGUCUAAGAUUCUGCCAUUGGACCAUGUUGCUCUUAGUAAUAAUUACGCAGAGUGAUGAAGAAAAAGUCAGCUGAUGACCAAACUACUUCAUUUAUCAAGACUAAGAAGUGCAAAACAUAAUCUAUACAUUUUGGAAAGCAGUACAAGUAACAUAACUCAAACAAGUUUUGACAAUUUUAACAGGUCAAUGUCACUUAGCAGGAACAUGUACUGAG